rnacentral:rRNA from 1 species
UACAGAGGUCCCGAGCGUUGUUCGGAUUCACUGGGCGUAAAGGGUGCGUAGGUGGCGAUGAAAGUUCGAUGUGAAAUCUCCGGGCUUAACCCGGAAAAGGCAUUGAAAACUAUGUUGCUUGAGGUUUGGAGGGGGGACUGGAAUUCUUGGUGUAGCAGUGAAAUGCGUAGAUAUCAAGAGGAACACCAGUGGCGAAGGCGGGUCCCUGGACAACACCUGACACUGAGGCACGAAAGCUAGGGGAGCAAACAGG